GCCACUGGGAACCACGCGCUUUGUCGGGAUGACCACCGCCACGACAGAGAGGAAAAGCUUGAGAUCCCUAGGGUUCGUCGCGAACUCAGAACUAUGACUCACUUAGUGAUGUGGACGAAGAGCUGGAUGCAUUAACUUCACGUAUAAAGCUGGAGGAAGGAAAUACAAAGUUCUAGAAAUGUCACUUUUCAGGGGAGAUGGUUACAGGAAAGGGAAGUUGAGUUGACAAUCAAAGUUAUGCAGAAGGUAAAUAGCUAAACCUUGACUAUUUUUUCCUUUUAACUGUAAGCUUGCUUCUUGUUGAAAUGGUUUUAAAUGUAGAAGGGAUCUAUUGAGUAUUACAAAAACAACCCAGCAAUGUACAUGUGUACUUUGGAAGAAAGGUAGCAUCUUGGCGUUCAAAAAGUCGUGAUCUUUGUUUGGAAAGAUUUUAUCCCUCUCCGACUUGGGUAAUGAAAGCAUGGGAAACAACUCAAGAUGAAAUGAUGAUUGCUGGUGGUCUGCAUGUUGUGGUUUUUAACAAAAUGGUUGUGUUCACGGUGUUCAAUCAUUUUAAAAUUGACACUUUUGAAGCUUCAUGUCUUAUACUGUGGCAGGUUAUGGUGAAAUGGUUAUACUAUAAGUUUUAAUUUGAAAUCCACAAGAUGUCAACCUACUAAGUGAAGUUACCUUAAUCCUAUAUAAGUUGAAGUGAAUAGAUGGUAUGGUAUUAGGCUUAAUUAUUUUGAUAUUUCCUUUGUUUUUGAAGUCUACUUUCUGGAUGAACCUGGUCCUAGGAAUCAUAUGCCAAGAGUACAUGUUUUGAUAACAUGACACCAACAUUAUGCACUACAAAAACUCUUAAAUCAAUAUUUAUUAAAAUGUUGAAUUUGUUGCAUAACAAUUUUAUGAUUUGCUCAAGUCUCUUAAAUAAAGGAAGCCAAACAUUAAAAGUGUUUUGUCCUAUAAGGGCACUGUCAACUAAUUAUUUUUUUAUUAUAUUAGGUACAAUUAUUACAUGCAAAUGAAUGGUAAAGCAGAAUGUAUAGCAUCACCUUAUGGCACAUGUUAGUUGCAUGGAUCAUCUCUAUGAUUUGUCAUGUUACUUGUAGCUCAACCUUAGGACUAUAAAUCACUGACUAUUAUUGUGGAAACAACAAAGAGAAAUGAAAAUUGCCGCUUUCAAGAAGCAUCUGAGUGUUUACUAUUUUAUACUCUAUUAUAUAUAGUCACUCAAGCUUCUAGAAUUUUUGUCAGCUGCAUCAAAAUGGGAAGCAACUUGAGGUUUUUGAGUCUUUGCAUCAACUCAUGCUCAACUUUAGCUUGGUUUUUAUGUUAACAGUUGCCCAAAAAUAGAGCAAAUUGUUUUGAAAUUUGUUCAUGACCAUAUCCAUAAUGCUCCAUCACUAGCAGCUGCAUUAAUAAGAAUGCACUUUCAUGACUGUUUUGUAAGGGGAUGUGAUGCAUCAGCCCUUUUGAACUCAACAACCAAUCAGGUUGAGAAGAAUGCUCGUCCAAAUCUUACAGUAAGAGGCUUUGACUUCAUUGGCAUUAUAAAGAGCCUUGUUGAAGCUGAAUGCCAUGGUGUGGUCUCUUGAGCUGAUAUCCUCACUUUGGUUGCCAAAGACACUAUUGUUGCAACAGAUGUAAAUCAUGCUGUUCUUGCUGUUGGGUAUGGAGUUGAAGAUGGUGUUCUGUAUUGGAUCAUUAAAAAUUCAUGGGGAAGCAACUGGGGUGUCAAUGGUUACUUCAAGAUGGAAUUAGGGAAGAAUAUGUGCGGUUCUUGAGUCCACUUUCAGCAGUCCCUUUGGUAUCUCAUGUUGGUUUUGGGCUUUAUGAGUUGGGCUUUCCUGGGGUUGCUAAAUGUAUAGAGAUUGGACUGCCAGAGCUUAUAUAUUACUAGUAUUUGUUUCGCAGAUUGGUUUUAGUGCUCCUCAAGGUUGUGGAAAGACAACCCUUGUCUUUGCUGUUGACUAUCUUUUCGAAGUGAUUGGCAGACUCGGAUAUGGCUUGAGGCGAUUCUCUGGGAGAAGAAAUAUGAUAUGGAUGUUUAUAUAUUGCUGUCAAGAGCGCAUGGGGCACACGAAGCAGCCUAGUGAUGAGAGAAUCCAUCGAUGGUACUUGAUCUUCAACAAGAACUUGAUCACGCACAUGAUCAAAGUCUGAAUGGAGACUCCUCAAGAUAAGAACCAUAUAGAACUUAUCCAGCUUUUUAUUCACUUCUUCCAGCGAAUCAGCCACAAGGAACUUCUUCAACUCUUCCACUGCAACCCGAGCUUUACCUAUGUGUGCAAUCAUGCCAUGACUGAUUUGUUUGAGGGUUGUGACCUUCAUAGUUGCAUUAAACAAACUCUGAAUAUAAUUGGAAAAGAUUUCUCGGGCCUUCUUCCAAAAAGGAACAACAUGUUUUGAAUGAUCUAAGGAUCUCCAAAACAUCUGCCUCGACUGAUUGCCAUAAGACAGCGCAUAGCUGAUAAUCCAGCUUUUCCCACUCAGAUUUUCUGUCACUUGGAACAGUAUCAAUACCUUUUUCCAAGUGGUUAUGGUGUCCUUGGCCGAGAAACCACAGCUCAACCGAAGCAGACCAAGACAAAUAGUUCUUCCAGUUUAGUUUUGCAGUCGUGAUAGUUGGGGUUCCAGAAAAGGAGAAGGCAAGUCCAGCAGAAGUCAUUUCUGAUCAAUGACAAAAACCCUAACGGAAAAGGGUAGAACUAAGCACAAGCUAACACACGAGCUUGCUGAAACGAAAAACCAACACUUGGAACACACUCAGGAGGGGCCGACGAAGCUGCUGGGACAACUCGGGCAAGCUUUCGAUGACGACACGGCGGCGCGUGGACUUCACGUGCCGGAAAACACGCGAGACUGUAACGGCGCGUGGCGGCGCGUGGGAGCUUCGAUGGCGGCCGGAGACGACGGACGGCGGCGAACAGAACCCGCUCUGAUGCCAACUUGAAGCUUUGAUAUUUUAAGCAAGGCUAAAGAGAUGGUGAUGCUAGCAGAGAAAAUGAGGCUAAAACUUUUGUCUGGCUCAAAUUCUCAAACCAAUGCGACUAAUGAUGAGGAGAUGGGUUCAAAGGAAGAGAUGCAAGAUUGGUUAUUGAGUGUUGGUAUUAUAUCCCCUGUUACCAAAGAGUCUGUGGGUGCUUUGUAUCAUCAACAACUUUCUCGUCAGUUGGCAGAUUUUGUUAAAGUUCCACUUGAGAAAGCUGGGGGAAUUAUCAAUCUUAUUGAUAUAUAUUGUCUCUUCAAUCAUGCUUGUGGCAUAGGUUUCAAUAUUGUCUGUGUUCCCUCUGACAUGAUUUUCUUUCAAGUAGUACAUUUUUUGAAUUAAUGCUUCCCUUCUUUUGAUUGUUUAAUAAACAGAAUUGAUCUCACCUGAUGAUUUGUUGCAAGCAUCUUCUCUGUGGGAGAAGUUUGAUGUGUAUGUUUUACAUUAUCUUCUAUUUAAAUUACUUCUGUUACUGUGAUUCGGUAAAUUAGUAUAGACUUGGUGAGUAGGUGACUUCAUUUCAUUCUCCAUUGAA